rnacentral:rRNA from 1 species
GACGAACGCUGGCGGCACGCUUAACACAUGCAAGUCGAACGGAGAACAUUGAGCUUGCUUAAUGUUCUUAGUGGCGGACGGGUGAGUAACACGUGAGUAACCUGCCUCUGAGAGUGGGAUAGCUUCUGGAAACGGAUGGUAAUACCGCAUAACAUCAUGGAUUCGCAUGUUUCUGUGAUCAAAGAUUUAUCGCUUAGAGAUGGACUCGCGUCUGAUUAGCUAGUUGGUAAGGUAACGGCUUACCAAGGCGACGAUCAGUAGCCGGACUGAGAGGUUGAUCGGCCACAUUGGGACUGAGACACGGCCCAGACUCCUACGGGAGGCAGCAGUGGGGAAUAUUGCACAAUGGGGGAAACCCUGAUGCAGCGAUGCCGCGUGGAGGAAGAAGGUUUUCGGAUUGUAAACUCCUGU